AUUAUGAGAGUUUGAUCCUGGCUCAGGACGAACGCUGGCGGCGUGCCUAAUACAUGCAAGUCGAACGCUUCUUUCCUCCCGAGUGCUUGCACUCAAUUGGAAAGAGGAGUGGCGGACGGGUGAGUAACACGUGGGUAACCUACCCAUCAGAGGGGGAUAACACUUGGAAACAGGUGCUAAUACCGCAUAACAGUUUAUGCCGCAUGGCAUAAGAGUGAAAGGCGCUUUCGGGUGUCGCUGAUGGAUGGACCCGCGGUGCAUUAGCUAGUUGGUGAGGUAACGGCUCACCAAGGCCACGAUGCAUAGCCGACCUGAGAGGGUGAUCGGCCACACUGGGACUGAGACACGGCCCAGACUCCUACGGGAGGCAGCAGUAGGGAAUCUUCGGCAAUGGACGAAAGUCUGACCGAGCAACGCCGCGUGAGUGAAGAAGGUUUUCGGAUCGUAAAACUCUGUUGUUAGAGAAGAACAAGGACGUUAGUAACUGAACGUCCCCUGACGGUAUCUAACCAGAAAGCCACGGCUAACUACGUGCCAGCAGCCGCGGUAAUACGUAGGUGGCAAGCGUUGUCCGGAUUUAUUGGGCGUAAAGCGAGCGCAGGCGGUUUCUUAAGUCUGAUGUGAAAGCCCCCGGCUCAACCGGGGAGGGUCAUUGGAAACUGGGAGACUUGAGUGCAGAAGAGGAGAGUGGAAUUCCAUGUGUAGCGGUGAAAU
rnacentral:rRNA from 1 species